rnacentral:lncRNA from 1 species
AGAAAAGGAGGGAGGAGGAGCCAUCUAGGGUUUCCUUGCGCUAGGGUUGAGAGGAGGCGCGGCUAUGCUUAAGUAGGCGGCGCGGAGCCCUCCAGUCGUUGUCGUCGUCGAAGUGGCGCGGGCGCCCCCACUGCUCGGAGAAGAAAAAAGCAGAGGAAGAAGGUGCAACUGUGAGAGAUGGCGUAUUCAGGAGUUUACGCCUUCGCUGCUGGGAGGCGUAACGCGGGGCGGCGCGCGUGAAGUUGGGCUGCGGGGUGCGGGCGCGUGUAGCUAGGCCGAGUGGGCCUGGGCCGACUCGGGCCGAAGGUAAGAAGGUAAGUUUUCCUUUUUCCUUUUUCCUUUUUCUGUUUUCUGUUUUGCAAAUAGUUUUGUUUGUACUUUGUUUUCUUGAUUCAAAUUUUAAAUACCAUUUUGAAAAGCUGAGGAGCAGGAGAGUUCAAAUAUGGUACUAUUAUUUGGAAAUAUUCAAAUGAGGGUAAAGGUUU